AAGUGCACGGUGCCUUAGUGGUUAGCACGUUUGCCUCGUGACUACAGGGUCGUGUGUUCGAUUCCCACUGUGUGUC